rnacentral:rRNA from 1 species
CCUACGGGUAGCAGCAGUGAGGAAUAUUGGUCAAUGGGAGAGAUCCUGAACCAGCCAAGCCGCGUGAGGGCAGACGGCCCUAUGGGUUGUAAACCUCUUUUGUCGGAGAACAAAACCCGGGACGUGUCCCGGACUGCGUGUAUCCGCAGAAAAAGCAUCGGCUAACUCCGUUCGAGCAGCCGCGGUAAUACGGAGGAUGAGAGCGUUAUCCGUAUUUAUUGGGUUUAAAGGGUGCGUAGGCGGUCCGUUAAGUCAGCGGUAAAAGUGCGGGGCUCAACCUCUUCGAGCCGUUGAAACUGGUUUUCUUGAGUGAGCGAGAAGUAUGCGGAAUGCGUGGUGUAGCGGUGAAAUGCAUAGAUAGCACGCAGAACUCCGAUUGCGAAGGCAGCAUACCGGCGCUCAACUGACGCUCAUGCACGAAAGUGUGGGUAUCGAACAGGAUUAGAUACCCCGGUAGUC